rnacentral:lncRNA from 1 species
AAUCUUAAAGGAAUUCAAAAGAAAUCCAUAAUAAAUCUUAAAAUAAUCACUAAUAUAUCUUAAAUAAAUCUCAAUUAAAUUCUAAUUUAAUUCUAAUUAAAAUCUUAAUAGACUUCAAUCAAAUCCUAGGCCAAAUCUAAAAUCCUAAGCCAAAUUCUAAAUCCUAAGAAAACUCUAAAUCCUAAAUCAAACACAAAAUAAAUCCUAAAUCUUAAAUCAAACCUUAAAUAAAUUGUAAAUCCUAAAUCAAAUCCUAAAUAAAUCUUAAAUCCUAAACCAAAUCUUAAAUAAAUCCUAAAUCCUAAAUAAAAUCUUAGAAAAAUUUUAAACCCUAAAUCAAACUCUAAACAAAUCCUAAACCUUAAAUCAAAUUCUAAAUAAAUCCUAAAUUCUAAACCAAAUCCUAAAUAAACUCUAAAUCCUAAAUUAAAUUCUCAACAAAAUCUAAAUCUUAAAUCAAAAUUUAAUUAAAUCCUAAAUCUUAAAUUAAAUUCUAAAAAAAUCAUAAAUUCUAAACUAAAUCCUAGACAAAUCCUAAACCUUAAAUUAAAUCUUAAACAAAUUUUAAAUUCUAAAUCAAAUUCAAAGGCAAAUUAAAAUCCUAAUAUCUUUUUAAUAAACCAUUGAUCUUACUUAAAAAUUUAUACACCUCUCAACUUCUUAACUAAAAAAAAUUAUAAAAAAUUUGAAGAUAAUUGCACUUAUCAAAUAGAAGAAAAAUCCUAAAACUCGCUUGGAUAUUGGCUGGCUUCCUAUUCCAAUCUAAAUAUCAAACUUCUAAUACCAAUAUCUCUUUUUCAAACCAUUCAAUUUUUUUCAAAUUAUAUAUAUAUAUAUAUAUACCAAAUCAAGUCAAUUAUUCAUAUAUACAAAUUUCACUCCAAUCCAAUUUGUAAAUUGCUAAAAAUCUUAAAAAAACUAAUUGUCCUUUAAAUUCCAAUUUUUGAGACCUCAACCUACUUAAAAUUCAAUAACCUUCAAUUUAACUACUUUAUCAAGCUCAAAAUUAUAGCAUAUACUUCAAACAACUAUCUUUAUAAGUUCUUAAAAUUUGAAUUAUAGAUCUAUUACCAAACUUACAAAAUUCUCUAAAACAUAAUACCCUUUUUAUUUCAUAAAUUCUAAAAUCACCCA